rnacentral:rRNA from 1 species
UGUAACCUACCUUUAUCAGGGGGAUAGCCUCUCGAAAGAGAGAUUAAGACCGCAUAACAUCACGAUGCAGCAUUGUAAUGUGAUCAAAUAUUUAUAGGAUAAAGAUGGGCAUGCGGAACAUUAGCUAGUUGGUAAGGUAAUGGCUUACCAAGGCUACGAUGUUUAGGGGAUCUGAGAGGAUGACCCCCCACACUGGUACUGAGACACGGACCAG